rnacentral:sRNA from 1 species
UGCAUCUGGGGCCUGUGAGGAUGAGAACCUCCGGGGGCAGGAGGUUCGACUCGAGCGAAGCGAGAGAACGUUGCGUCAGCAACGGCCCGCAGGGCGAGCCACGAAGUGGUGAGU